AUCGCUUCUCGGCCUUUUGGCUAAGAUCAAGUGUAGUACCUUGAUGUUAGCAAAGCCUUUGAUACGGUCUCCCACAGUAU
rnacentral:snRNA from 1 species